AGUGAGCGCUGGCGGUAGGCCUAACACAUGCAAGUCGAACGGCAGCACAGUAAGAGCUUGCUCUUACGGGUGGCGAGUGGCGGACGGGUGAGGAAUACAUCGGAAUCUACUUUUUCGUGGGGGAUAACGUAGGGAAACUUACGCUAAUACCGCAUACGACCUACGGGUGAAAGCAGGGGAUCUUCGGACCUUGCGCGAUUGAAUGAGCCGAUGUCGGAUUAGCUAGUUGGCGGGGUAAAGGCCCACCAAGGCGACGAUCCGUAGCUGGUCUGCGAGGAUGAUCAGCCACACUGGAACUGAGACACGGUCCAGACUCCUACGGGAGGCAGCAGUGGGGAAUAUUGGACAAUGGGCGCAAGCCUGAUCCAGCCAUACCGCGUGGGUGAAGAAGGCCUUCGGGUUGUAAAGCCCUUUUGUUGGGAAAGAAAAGCAGCAGGUUAAUACCCCGCUGUUCUGACGGUACCCAAAGAAUAAGCACCGGCUAACUUCGUG
rnacentral:rRNA from 1 species